rnacentral:tRNA from 1 species
ACCGCCGUAGUCCAAUAGGCAGAGACAACGGACUUAAAAUCCGUCCAGUAUGGGUUCGAGUCCCAUCGGCGGUA